rnacentral:misc_RNA from 1 species
GAUGAAGAACGUAGUGAAAUGCGAUAAGUAGUGUGAAUUGCAGAAUUCAGUGAAUCAUCGAAUCUUUGAACGCACAUUGCGCCUGCCAGCACUCUGGCAGGCAUGCCUGUUCGAGCGUCAUUUCAACCAUCAAGCCCUAGGCUUGCGUUGGAGCCCUGCGGCUGCCGCAGGCCCCUAAAAGCAGUGGCGGGCUCGCUAUCACACCGAGUGCAGUAGAUUACUCUUCGCUCAGGGCGUGUGGCGGGUUCCAGCCGUGAAACCCCCUACUUCUCAAGGUUGACCUCGGAUCAGGUAGGAAUACCCGCUGAACUUAAGCAUAUCAAUAAGCGGAGGA